GUAAGGGAUAUUGCGACAAUGGACGCAAGUCUGACGCAGCAACGCCGCGUGAGGGAUGACGGCCUUCGGGUUGUAAACCUCUUUUCUGUGGGAAGAGACAGGACGGUACCACAGGAAGAAGUCACGGCUAACUACGUGCCAGCAGCCGCGGUAAAACGUAGGUGGCAAGCGUUAUCCGGAUUUACUGGGUGUAAAGCGUGUGCAGGCGGUCGUGUAAGUAGCGCGUGAAAGCGCCCGGCUCAACCGGGCGAGGACGUGCUGUACUGCACGACUGGAGAUGGGUAGAGGCGAGUGGAAUUCCGGGUGUAGUGGUGAAAUGCGUAGAUAUCCGGAGGAACACCAGAGGCGAAGGCGACUCGCUGGGCCCGUUCUGACGCUCAGACACGACAGCAUGGGGAGCGAACGGGAUUAGAUACCCUUGUAGUCC
rnacentral:rRNA from 1 species